GCAGUCGAGCGGAGAGAGGUAGCUUGCUACCGAUCUUAGCGGCGGACGGGUGAGUAAUGCUUAGGAAUCUGCCUAUUAGUGGGGGACAACAUUUCGAAAGGAAUGCUAAUACCGCAUACGUCCUACGGGAGAAAGCAGGGGAUCUUCGGACCUUGCGCUAAUAGAUGAGCCUAAGUCGGAUUAGCUAGUUGGUGGGGUAAAGGCCUACCAAGGCGACGAUCUGUAGCGGGUCUGAGAGGAUGAUCCGCCACACUGGGACUGAGACACGGCCCAGACUCCUACGGGAGGCAGCAGUGGGGAAUAUUGGACAAUGGGCGCAAGCCUGAUCCAGCCAUGCCGCGUGUGUGAAGAAGGCCUUAUGGUUGUAAAGCACUUUAAGCGAGGAGGAGGCUACUUUAGUUAAUACCUAGAGAUAGUGGACGUUACUCGCAGAAUAAGCACCGGCUAACUCUGUGCCAGCAGCCGCGGUAAUACAGAGGGUGCAAGCGUUAAUCGGAUUUACUGGGCGUAAAGCGCGCGUAGGCGGCUAAUUAAGUCAAAUGUGAAAUCCCCGAGCUUAACUUGGGAAUUGCAUUCGAUACUGGUUAGCUAGAGUGUGGGAGAGGAUGGUAGAAUUCCAGGUGUAGCGGUGAAAUGCGUAGAGAUCUGGAGG
rnacentral:rRNA from 1 species